CAGACUGAUCGCAUAGCUCACAUUCAAAAGCCAAGAACCAGAAUCGCAUGGUUUAUUUUAAGACACAAGAAGAGUAAAAAGCAGAUUGAAAACCAUACGACAUUCUGGCAGCUGAAGCUCUGAAAACAACGGUGGCAUUUGCAGAGUUCUUCGUGUCUUCUCAAACGUGGUUGCAGUUUUAAUCUUCUUCCUGAUUCUGAUGAGUUACCUCAGCUGAGACUCGUUGCUCACUGUGAAGGCUGCUAAUGGCUGCUCUGAGCCUGGGUGUGUCAGAACAGAGGAUCCCUUCUAAAUCCAAGGCUGGGUCUUCCCACUCUAGCACUUCUCCCCCCAGUUCUAGAUGACGGCUGACAGACUGCCUUAAUUGAAACCAAAACCAAAGACCACCACAGAAAAGAUAAGUUCAUGAAAGCAAAUAUUCAUGCAGACCUUCAGCUGGAACUUAAUUUAUGAAAUAACCUCUCAGAUUAUUAGUGUGUUGUGAGCAUGCUUGUUUUUCACUCCCAUGCUUUGUCACUGUAGAGACAUGAAAAUGCUAUUCAUUGUUGCUAGGAGAUGGGUGGCUAUGGCAACAGCAUGG
rnacentral:lncRNA from 1 species